CUGGGUCUACAGCCGCCGCCCUGAAUACGCCCAAGCUCCUCUGAUCCAGAGCCUAGGAGGGUCAGGCCUGGGGCCUGCUUAAUACUUAGGUGGGAGACCUGCUGGGAAUACCCAGGUUUUAGCCCAGU
rnacentral:rRNA from 1 species